rnacentral:lncRNA from 1 species
UACUUAAGCCAAGCAAGGUAGGUUGUGCAGAAAAUAACAUAAAAAGCAUAGAUAAAAACUACAUUUUUUUCAAGCUAUUCAUUAAUUUAUACUAUCAUUUUCAUUUCUGCAUGUAAUUGCUUAGAGAAUCAGUGAUACACCAGAACUUGAGACAUGACUUUCAAACUUCUGACUUCUACUGCUUCUUGGCUGUAACCCUGGACACAUUUCCUAACUUCCUAUGUAUUAAUUGCUUUAUUUGAAAACAGAGAUUGUAGUCCUUGCCUUUCAGGGCUUUUCAAGUAUGGGCAGCCAAACUGUUCUGCUAAUCUGUAUUUCCAGAGAUCCCUUUGCUGGUCAAGGGUAUUCAGCCAGUUACUGAGCCAGCAAAUAUCGACUGGGCACCUGUUGUGAGAAAGAGCAUGAGUUCUUAUCCUUGGAAAUGUUACUGUUAAAGUUCAACUCCACAGAGGGUUGACACCAUCAAUUGUGUAUGAAAGCUAUAUAAUGAAUGAACACCAGCUGCCUGAACAAUUAAAAAUAAAUAAAACUUGUAAUUUAAAAACUCUAGCAUUUUCCAA